rnacentral:lncRNA from 1 species
GCAUUUCUCUAAUCGAGCUGUAACACUUGCUGCUGCGGUCCAUGGCUCCAUUCCUUGAAGCCCACGAGACCAGGAACCCUUGGAUUGAGAAAAAACCUUCAAUUGGGAGGAUACUUCUUAUCUCAUUUCUAGGGGCCCAUCCGGGAUUUCUCCACAGCACUCAAGCUGAGCUUUCACUCUCUGUCCACCACUGCUGUUUGCCACUGCCGCAGACACGCGCUGACUUCCAUCCCUUCGGAUCCGGCAGGGUGUCCUCUGUGCUCCUGAUCCAGUGAGGUGCCCAUUGCUGCUCCCGAUCCGACUAAAGGCUUGCCAUUGUUCCUGCAUGGCUAAGUGCCCAGGUUCGUUCUAAUCGAGCUGAACACUAGUCACUGGGUUCCACGGUUCUCUUCCAUGACCCACGGCUUCUAAUAGAGCUAACAGAGCUGUAACACUCACCGCAUGGCCCAAGAUUCCAUUCCUUUGAAUCCGUGAGGCCAGGAACCCCAGGUCAGCUACCACCAGGCUAGCCACCAUCUUGGAAACAGCUUGCGGCCAUUUUGGAAGCGUCCCAUUACCGUCUUGGUAGCUCUGGGAGCAAGGACCCCCAGUAACAUGAGGACUCACACAGACUAGUGAGGGGAGCCAGUGGCAAACUGUAAGAUGUGCCACUGAGAUCCCCCUUCAAGUUCAGUUCUUCAGAGUCUGCUUCAGCUGCGUGAAGUGCUUUUACCCUAAGUCUCCCCAUCUUCUUCAGACCAGCCGGCAUACAGCAACUGAGCAGGAGCCACAGAGCCAUCAAAGAUCUUCUAUUAUCUAUAUGCUGCGUCCUAGAUGAUGAAACACAAUUCUCAGGAAGUAUUGGCUCCAAACUGGCAUUUUAGCUGUGCAGGCCUUUUCAGCACUCUCUCACACUGACAGCUUCUGGGUGGGUCAGUACGUCAUCUCAUGGUCAUAGGCCCACUUACUCUUCUCCUUUACCAUAAACUAAGUCUUGGUCUAAUGGAAUAAUAAUGUGUUUUGAUGCCAGUGGAACCAAAACUCUGCAAGUCCACAGAUAGUAAUGUUUACUGUUGCUUUACAGGUAAGAAUGGUACCCCCCUACUAAGAAAGUGUGUAUGGCAGGUAAACACUGAGCACACAUGGAUAUAAACACAGGGAUAAUAGACACUGCAGACUACUAGGGAAAGGAUGGAAGGAGAGAGACAUGGGAGAAAAACUACCUAUUGGGUGCUAUGCUCACUACGUGGGUCUAAUACACUAUGUAACAAUUCUACACAUGUACCCCCGUAUCUAAAAUAAAAGCUGUUUUUUUAAAAGAAAAAUUGCUGUAAAUAAUGGAAAGAAAAUGACAGGGCUAAUAUUUUGGGAAUCUUAGAAAAGAAUUAUAUUCAAAUUACAUAAGAAGAAAGACAGAGUCGGGUGCGGUGGCUCACGCCUGUAAUCCUAGCACUUUAGGAGGCCGAGGCAGACGGAUCACGAGGUCAGGAGCUCGAGACCAUCCUGGCUAACAAGGUGAAACCCCGUCUCUACUAAAAAUACAAAAAAAAAAUUAUCCGGGUAUGGUGGCGGGCGCCUGUAGUUCCAGCUACUCGAAAGGCUGAGGCUGGAGAAUGGCAUGAACCUGGGAGGCGGAGCUUGCAGUGAGCCGGGACCGUGCCACUGCACUCCAGCCUUGGCGACAGAGUGAGACUCCGUCUCAAAAAAAAGAAAAAAAAAAAGAAGAAAGACAGGAGUUAUUAUCUUAGUCUGUUUUGUACUUCUACAAAAAAAAUACCUGAAAUUGGGUAAUUGAUAAAGAAUAGAUUUUUUUUUUUUCUCACAGUUCUGGGGGCUGAGAAGUUUAAGUUCAAGGCACCAGCCAGUUUGAUGUCUAGUAAGGACCCCAUCUCUGCUUCUAAGAUGUAACCUCCAGAGGAAAGAAACACUGUUCUCCACAUGGCAGAACAGUGGAGCUAAAACUCAUUUCUUAAUGUCCUUUUCAAAAGUAUUUGAUCUACCCAUGUGGGCAGAUCCCUCCUGGCCUAAUCGCCUCAUAAAGGCCCACUUCUCAAUAUCAUUACACUGAUGAUUAAAUUUCAGCGUUAAGUUUUGAGAUAAAUAUUCAAACCAUGGCAGUUGUCUAUUUGAAUUUUACCUUCAAAAACUCCGUUCACUUAUAUUAUCAUGUGGAACACCAUACUUCUUUGAGUUUGCUUCUUCCUUUCUCUCUCUCUCCCUCUCUGGAUAUGCCUUCUCAGUGUCUCUUCAUUCAAUUUAUUCUGUCUGUUCUUUACAUGUGUCUAUUAUUGAGAGAUCAAUGACAGUUCAAGUUGCUUCUUAUUUUUAAUGCUUUUGUAUCUCAUUUUCAUGCCUUUAAUUAUUAUUGAUGGACUGAUAAUUUCCAGGUCUCUUCUGCCAGCUCAGAUAUCACUAAUCACAGCUGGAUUUAUAUAUACACUGCUUAUGAGACAUCAUUCAAAUCAUGCUGCUCAAAAGAUGACCCAAGAUCUUUUUAUUCUUAACUGGGGUGUGUGUGUGUGUGUGUGUGUGUGUGUGUGUACAUCUUUCUAUACACGACACUACUAUAGUUCACCCACACCCUAAGUCAGAGACAAGUUCAUUGACAUUGUCACAGGCCACAGCCAAUCAUGUCACAGCAACUCUUAGUGAAAUUGUACACUUUUGAGGCUGCUAGCCCAGAAUGUGAAGCCAGAAUCAUGCUGUUUUUAAGUAACUACGUGAUCUUGGGCAAUUUGUGCAAUUAUUCUAUCCCUUAAUUCCCACAUCUGCCAAAUUGAAAUUAAAGUAGAACUCAACACAAAGGUUUUUGUGUGGGUAAAAUACAUUGAGAUAUACACAGCGCCUUACUAUAUAAACACUGUAUGUGUCAGCUACUGUUGUGUUAAGAGUAUUAUGAUUGAUAACAUCUACUAAAUCUCUCUCUCGCCUUACUGCUAUUUCUCUAAUUCAGAAUUCUAUUAUUUUGCAAGUAUCACUGAAAAAGCUAACUUCUCUCUUCAGUGUUGCUGUUUCAUAAUCCUUUCUAUAUAUUACAGUGAUUUUACUAAAAUGGGAAUAGAAUUAAGUUGCUUCUUUAAAUAAAAUUCUUUAAUAAGAUUAUAUAAUAUAUUUUAUUAUAUGAUCAUUCUUGUUCCUCCUGACUAACCACCUUAUUAGGGAUUUUCUGGUUAUUUUAUCUUUCUACAUAAAAUUUGGAUUUGACUUGACAGUGAUUGCGGAAAACAUAUUUCUAUUUUGCCAUUAUUUUAUUACAUUUAUAGAUUAAUAUGGACUGAAUUGUCAUCAUUAUGAUGUUGUGUUUUUAUUCCAAGACAUUACAUGCUUAUAUAUUUGAUAACAACUUACUUUAAGUUCUCCAAUAGUAUACAAUUUUUCCCCUUAAAAAUCAUGCACAUUGAUUAUGAGGUCUGUUUCAAGUUUUUUGCUUUGCAAAAUAGGGUGUUUUCUAAUUAUAUAAUGUAUAUGUUAUGAACUAUUUAUUUUUAUUUUGUAUUCACCUACCUUAAUCAUUUGCCAUCAUGUUUAGAGUCAUUUUUUUCAGUCUUGGCUCCUGUAUACUGAAAGUGUUGAAUCGUAUCAUCUGUAAAUGAUGACAGUUUUGCCUCUUUAUUUCUUAUGCCUUGUCAAAUCUUAAUAGCUAGAUACAAGAAUAUUUGCUUCUAGCUAUAGCAGAUGAACUUGAAUAUAGCCAUCCGUCUUGCUAGACUAAUUAGUAAGGCUGGAUAAAAUAUGAAAGAUAAAGUGUUAGAGGGCACCUGAGAUCUCUACCAAGCAGCAGAGACUUGAGGAGGCAAGACUCCAGAAAGAAGGGAAGCACAUAAACAUAAAUUAGAUGUUCUGUUCAGAUUUUUGCUAUGACACAUUUGCCAGUUGAAAGAGGCAGAAGGAGGCAUCUAAAAAUCUUGAAAGUCAAACUGUCUAUGCAACAACAUUUUGGACCUGGUGUGCUAAAAAAUGAAUUCACAUCAGAUUGAAGAAAAGCACAGGGAGAUGUGAAUGAUAUGGGCUGCUGAAUAAGAUGUGUCUUCAACACAAUCUCCUAUUAGGGCAAAAUUCAAAUAAAAGAAAUAUAUUGAGAUUAUAUAGAAUUUUGAUGCUGACUGGCCAUGAAUUCCAGAGGACACAAUAAAAAAAUUUUCUGAGUGAGAGGAAUUGGAAGAUAAGGCUAUCUGGAUAGCUGUAUCAGGACAGACAUGGCUGAGAACAAAUAAUUGUCUGUAAUAGAACAUGCAAAUUCUUCCUUAGAAUGUAGUAAAGGGACUCCUUUAUUCAUAUGUGCUCCUGCCACAACUCUGAAUGCAUAGAUUCUUUUGACUUGACAUAAAUGCCACAGAUUUGUUUUUAUUUUAAUGAAGUCCAAUAACAGGAGAUCCACCAAUAACCUGGAGGUAGCAGGUAGCUAUUGAAAGGAAGUUUAUGAAAUUAUUAGAAAAUGAUUUAUUGAAACUUUCUAUUACCCAUCUCCUAGCAUUCAAUAUCUGCCCUCAUUAAACUCUACUAGUAAAUUUAAUAAUCACCUUUUGCACAAUCAAAUUUUUAUUAUUUUGGUUGUUAAGUGGGACAUAACACCAUGGUCCCAAAUUUUCUAUAUUUUAAAAUGCAUUUUCUUCAUUUAUACUUCAUACCAUUCUACCAAUUUUCCUAACUGGUUGAAUUCAUUGCUUUGAUUUCUGAUUAAUUUCUCAUAUUGUAUAAUCCUUGAGAGAAAAUACGUCCUUCACACUCAAAUUGUUUGUUUCCAGUGCCAUAUAGUUAAACCUUUCUUUUAUUCGGCAUGUAUUUCAACCUUCCUUGUCUCUCCAUUAACCACUGUCCUUUCUUCCCUUCACAAUUGGUAAAUGUUUUAUUUUGCAAAGAGGAUAGGCUAAUUAAUUUACUAAAUAUAAUAGUUUUAUGUAGGAAAAUACACUGAAAUUAGGAAUAUGUAUUCAAAAUGACAUAUAACAAACCCAUUUUUUUCCUUAUCAAUGUUAUCACCCAACAAUGUGGAACAAAAUGAUGUUACUCAAAGACUUCCCAUUUGUCAUGUUGCUUAAAGUCAUAGAUUCCAAGAACUUAACAACAUCGUCAAGCAAGGACUUACUGUACUUAAUAUACAAAUAGUUUUUUUAAUACCAAAAUGUCUCCUUCCUUUGCUGAAUGCUGAUUGCAUACAUUAAAUCUCCAGUUCCUCGAUGAAUGCAUAUUCUUUUAAAAAACAAGCUGUCAUAACCUAUUAUAAGAGCAUAGCAAAUUAGCAAUAUACGUUUACCUCCUUUGUGAUAGAUAAGUGAAGCAAGUUUUGAAACCAAGUUAAUAAUUCUGAAUAAAUCCACAAUUUUUUUUAAAAUGCUGAAAUUUUGUGUAAUAUUUUUCAAAGGUCUUUAGUGUAACAAAUUAGUGAGAUGAAAUGGUAAAAUGUGCCAAUUCGCUUCCUACCAUAGUUCACUUAUAUAUCACUUGCAUUUUAAUCCUUAUAGAUUUUAAUCCUUAUAGAUUUCUGAGAAGACCAUUAUCCUUAACAAACUAACACAAGAACAGAAAAUCAAAUACCACAUGUUCUCAUUUAUAAGUGGGUGCUAAAUGAUGAGAACAUAUAGACACAUAGAGGGGAACAACACACACAGAGGCCUUUCAGAGGAUGGAGGGUGGAAGGAGGGAGAGGAUCAGGAAAAAAUAACUAAUGGAUACUAGGCUUAAUACCUGGGUGAUAAAAUAAUCUGUACAACAAACCUCCAUGACACAAGUUUACCUGUGUAACAAACCUACACUUGUACCCCUGAACUUAAAAUAAAAGUUAAAAAAAGGAAAAUAAAUUUAAAAAGAAUAUUAUGUGGUCUGAACACUUAUUUCUGUUAAUCAAAUUUCUUUGUAAUCAUAUAAUUAUUUAGUACCACCCACUUGUACAACAUUUAUUGCAUACAUCAGUGUUUAUAAUCAUUUCUAACAAAUAAACUUUUUUAUUAAACAUUGGGUAGAAUUUUAUAUGUAUGAUUAUAAUUUAAUAUACUGCAUCAUAUAUACAUACGUAAGAUGCAAUAUAUCAAGUUGAUAUAAGCAGAGCUUAUCUGCCUGAAUUCAUUGUGGAGAUCAUGGUAUCCUAGAUCCUCAACUUCCAAUGAUAUCUGUUUACUCUUCAUUAGCCACCACUGUAAAAGAAACAAGAUUUAUUAACCACUUGAUGGCUUUCUAUUCUAGAAUAUAGUGACUGCAUUAUCGAAAUGCAUAUGGCAUGUCAUUUGGGAGAAUAACCUGGUAUAGAAGACAGUGUCCAAUACUCAGAUCAAAAGAAAUGAAUUUGCUUCCUGAUUGUGUCAAAAAUCAGUGGUAAUCUGUUAGCAAUUCACUUAAACUCUUUUAAGGCUUAAUGUAGUCAUACAACUAUGAAUGCAUUAUCAAGCGGAGUUCACAUCAUUUUCAGAAUUGUUGUUAUAUUAUUUUAUGAACCUCUGUGUUUUGAUUAUAUAGUUGGUAGCUAGCUGCUGCACUAAACUGUGAGAAAGAAAAUGACACCUAACAUCCUGAACUAGGUAAGGUUAUGUGUUACUACAAGCUGACUUGAUGCUCCCAGCUAGAGAACACUGUUCUCCUGGUGAACAUAAACAAUCUCACAGAGCAUAACAACAUCAGGUCACGUUGAAGGGAUGAUAAAGUGAGAUAAAACAAGGUCACCAUGUACCCCAUGAAGUACUCGAACAUCCUCCUCUCUCUGCUAAAAUGAAUUAUGGCUGCUUCUUUACCUAGUCUAUCCUUCCUGUAGAUAAGAUUUGUUGAGGUUCUCAAUUAUGAACUUGUCUGUCUUCCUGACAGCAUCCAAUCAUGAUCAAAGCCUGAAUCCUUGGACCCUCCCCUGAAUUACCGGACCAAAGCUCAAAUCCUGUAAUAGGUCUUUCUCUUACUGAGAGAGGCACUAUGGCUUUCUUUGCUGUGUGUUUUCCUUUCAUGCAAAGAGUCAUAAAUUCAACUUGUUCAACUAUCACUGUGUUCUUGGUGGCCUUUGUCUGGAGAUAUUUGACAACUGAAAUUUGUUCAAUUUAAGUAAUGCUGAUGCUUUGCAAUGAAUGCUAUUUGAAAUCUGUAUUAGCAGUUAUAUAACUUCUGCUCUAGCACUCUAUGUAUUUACUUCUAAAAUUAAUAAAAUUCUGACAUGUUUAUAAUAUUCUAUACUUACAUGUGUUUCUCCUUCAAGAUUUUAAUUUGUUAUGUUUCAUGGUAGUAUUUGUUUUAGUAAUGUACUUAUGUGAUAGUUAUUAUAUGUUUUAAAUCAUAUCUCAGUUGAGUUUUUCAUCCAUAGGCCACAUUAAUCAUUUUAAUAAGCCAUGCAGGUUAUAUCAAUUCAUUUUAAUAAAUAAUGUGAUUUAAUAGUUUACCUUAUUAGUAUAAACCUAACUCUAUUGAUCUUGAAAUGCCUAAAACAUGAUUUUUUUGUCUUUUCUUAAAGUUAUUACCAAUAAUAAAUCAUAUUGUUUUAAUUCUGAAAUAAGUAUUUGGAAACUAUUUCAAUUUUGAGACAGUGAAAUAUGUUAUUUUUGUGGUUGCAUAAUUUUAUUAUACAGAAUUAACUGACCAUAUUGGAUAGUUUCGAUCUAAUAUACUCCAGUAUGUCUUUUAUGCUAAGUAUUUAAAAUGAUAGAAAAUAUAUUUUGCUCACAUUGACAGAAUUAAAUUUGAGCAAUUUUCUCUUUCUCUUUGUUUAACUGAAGAUAAUUGGUGCAUCUACAAUAGAGGUCAUUGCUGUAUCUUUAACAUUUCAUCUAUAAUCCUUAUGAAAAGAUUGCAAUAUUUGCCUUCCUUAAUUAAGUAUUCAGUUUUGCAAUUUUUAAAUCACACCAAUAAUAAGCAUUUUUUAGGAAGAAUGGAGUAGAGAUUACAGAAUUAUUAGUUUUAUAAGCAAAGCAUAUGUGAGGUAAGUACUAUAUUAGGUCAUAUUUAUUUCCUUUUGACCUGAAAACUUAUUGAAUCUUCCUGAAGUUCUUAUUUUAGGUAAAAAUGGGACAAAACAAAACAAUGACAAGCAAAUUCUGUUCUAAAAAGCUUUAAAACUGAUAUCAAAAUUACUCAGCUAGUAACUUACAUGUUUGAGAAUACAAUAUUAUACACCCAUGUUCAUAGCAGCAUUUUUCAUAAUGCAAGAUGGUGGAAGUAGCCAUGUGUCCAUCCAUGGACGAAUGGAAAACAAAAUGUGUUAUAAAUAUAUAACAGAAUCUUUUUCAGACCCAAAAAGGGAGGAAAUUCUGAUACAUGCUACAACAUAGAUGAACUUUAUGUGCAUUAUGCUAAGUAAACUAAGACAGUCACAAAAAGACAUAUUGUAUAACUCCAGUUAUAGGGGGCACCUAGAGUUGUCCAACUCAUAGACAUAUUAAGUAAAAUGGUGACCAGGUGCUGAGGGAAGGGAGGAUUAGAGAGUUAUUACUUAAUGAGUAUAGAGCUUCAAUUUUUCAAGAUGAAAAGAGUUAGGAAGGUGAUGUUGAUGGUUGUACAAUAGUGUGAAUGUAUUUAAUACUACUUGACUGUACACCUAAAAAUUGUUCAAAUGGUAAGUUUUAUGUUAUAUAUGUAUUUUACCAAAAUUUAAAACAAACAAACAACUUCUCACAUAUGUUUAUACAAAUAAAGGGAUAACUCAGCCAAGCUAUUUAAUAACUUUGAUAAAUCUACACGGUUCUACGCAGAACUACUAUCUUUAGAGAUUAGAAGAAAAUAAAAAAAUAUCUCUCACAGUUUGCAAUCCACCUCGUCAUAGCCAAAAGCAAACUUCCUAAAGGGAAAAAAGUCUUUAUACAAUAAUUAAGGGUUUGUUUCAGUCAAGAAGAAGACAGAUCCACGCUUGUAACCUUAUGUGCUUUUCACAUUAUUUCAGAACAUUUUGUUAAAUGUAAAAUGCUGUAAUAUUUUAACAAAAAAAAAUCAAAGGAAGUUUUUUACAACAUUGUACACCUUAGAAAGUUCAUAAAUAUUGUAAUUUUCUUUAUUUCAUAUAAUAGUGACUACUCAUAUGGUUAUGAAUUUUCACUAGAACGUUUAGCAUAAGACAUUGUUGCAAACAUUUUCAAAAUAUAUCUUAGAAACUUGGGGGGAUGAUAAAAAUUUAAGAUGUUAAGGUGAAAGGGAAUUUAGGUAUUAUCUUUUUCAAAUAUGCUAUAGUUACAGGAGUGUUUGUCAACUAUAGAUGAAAUAUUGUAAGUCGGUGGAAAGUUUUAACCUUCCUUGGUAGUUGUCCAUUCUGUCUUUGGUCAAGUCCAUUUCCUAGAACAUUAUUUUUUUGUCCUAAAAUUUACCAACUAGUCAUUAGCUACAUAUCUAAAUUAACCAAAAGGGAUAUCAAAAAGGAGUGAGAAUACAUUUUAUAUCCCUUGUUUGCACAUAGGUGUUUUAUAAUUUCCCUCUUAUCCCUUUUGGUUAGUCAAUCCCGUCUAUGUGUUUUAGACAUUCCAAGACAAUUAUUGUGACUCAUUUUGGCUAUGCUUUUUCCCUUUUCAGUGUUUUUACAUUUGUCACAUCCUUGAUCCAAAAGAUUCACCCUCUCUUCCUAUCCCAGCUAACACUCUUCAAACUCUCUUCCACAACCUAUUAUUUAUUUUUAUCUUUACCUUUUCAUAAAUUAAUGUGUUACACCAUAAUCAUUCUUUAUGAAUACUUGUCUUGACCAUUUAAUUGAAGAUACCUUAGUUCAGGGACUUGUUAUAUUCACCUUUGCAGCCUCACUUCUAAGCAGAGUCAGCUGCCUAUUAGGUAAUCAAAGACCCCACUGAAUAAAUAAAUCGGGCUAGUUCUGCCCUCUGGAACUUCCAACUAUUACAUUUACUGAAUCUGAAAUAUCAGUUAUUAUUUUCUCCUUCCUUCUUUAUCUAUUUAGUGUUUAACAAAUACCUAUUGGGUAUCUGCUACAUAUUGAACAGAUAUACAGCAAAGACCCAGAAAAAAUAUGCCUGUCACAUGGAAAUUUUUGCAGUCAGUUAAGCAUAUCAUGUUCUCUUGAUUCUAAAGCACUGUUACGAAAUUUGAUGCACUUAAUAAACUUAAUAAUCACUUAUAUAUACAGGCAUAUCUCAUUUCAUUGUGCUUUGCUUUAUUGCACUUUGCAGAUAGUACAUUUCUUACAAAUUCAAGGUUUGUGGCAGCCCUGGUUCCAGCAAGGUAUCAGCACCGUUUUUCCAGCAGCAUGAACUCACUUUAUGUGUUUGUGGCAUAUUUUUCUAGUUCUCACAACACUUCUAACAUUUAAAUUAUUAUUAUAUAUGUUAUGAUUAUUUGGACUAGUGAUCCAUGACGUUACUAUUGCAAUUGUUUUUGUUUUUGGGGUACCACAAACCACAGCCAUAUAAAAUGAUGAACUUAAUCAAUAAAUGUUGUGUGUGUUCUGACUGCUCUACCAAUUGGCCAUUCCUCUAGCUCGCUCUCUCUCCUUAGGCCUCCUUAUUCCCUGAGACACAACAAUAACAAUUCAUAAUUCUCUAAGUGUUCAAGUGAAAAGAAGACUCACACAUCUCACAAAUCAAAUCAAAAGCUAGAAAUGAUUGAAGAUGAAGAUAUAUUGAAAGCCAAGAGAGUCUGAAAGCUAGGCCUUUCACAUAAGUGAGCCAAGUUGUAAAUACAAAGGAAAAGUUCUUGGAGGAAAUUAAAAUUGUUACUCCAGUGGAAAUACAAAUGAUAAUAAAUUAAAUCAGUCUUAAUGCUGAUAUAAUUUUUUUUUGUGGUCUGAACAGAAUAUCAAAUGAGCUACAACAUUUCCUGAAGCCAAAACCUAAUGUAGAACAAAGCCCUAAAUUUUCUCAAUUCUUUGAAGACUGACGGAGGUGAGGAAGCUGCAGAAAAAAAUUUUGAAGCUAGCAGAGGUUGGUUCACAAGGUUUUGGGAAAGAAGCCAUCUUAAUGACAUAAAAAUGUAACAUGAAGCAGCAAGGGUUGAUGUAGCAGCUGCAGGAAGCUAUCUAGAAAAUCCAGCUAAUGUAUGAAGGCAGCUACACUAAACACUGGAUUUUCAGUGUGGAUGAAACAAGUUUAUAUUGGAAGAAGAUGCCAUUUGGAUAGUCAUACUGUAUUAGUCCAUUCUCAUGCUGCUAUAAAGAAAUACCCAAGUCUGGGUAAUUUAUGAAGGAAAGAGUUUUAAUUGACUCACAGUUGUGCAUAGCUCGGGAAGCCUCAGGAAACUUACAAUCAUGACAGAAGACAAAGGGGAAGCAAGGCACCUUUUUCACAAGGUGGCAGGAAGAAGAAGUGCAGAGUGAGGGGGGAAAAAGCCCCUUAUAAAACCAUAAACUCUUCUGAGAACUCACUCACUAUCAUAAGAACAGCAUGGGGAAUCACACCCAUGAUCUAAUCACCUCCCACGAGGUCCUUCCCUCAACACGUGGGGAUUACAAUUCAGAUUAAAAUUUAAGAUGAGGUUUGGGUGGGGACACAGAGCCAGACCAUAUCACAUACCUAGAGAGGAAAAGUCAUGCCUGGCUUCAAAGCUUCAAAGGCAGUCUGACUCUAUUGUUAAAGACUAAUGCAGCUGGUUGGUGAUUUUAAGUUGAAGCCAAUGCUCGUUUCCCAUUCCAAGAAUCCUAGGGCCCUUAAGAAUUAUGCUAAAUGUACUUUGCCUGUGCUCUAUAAAUAAAACAACAAAUCCUGGAUGACAUCAUAUCUGUUUACAGCAUGAGUUACUGAAUAUUUUAUACCCACUAUUAAGACCUACUUCUCAGAACAAAAUAUUCUUUGCAAAAUAUUACUGCUCAUUAAAACAAUGCACCUGUCACCCAAGAGCUCUGAUGGAAAUGUACAAGAUUAAUGUUUUCAUGCCUGCUAAAACAAUAUCCAUUCUGCAGCCCCUAGAUCAAGGAUUAAUUUUGACUUUCAAGUCUUAUGAUUUUCAGAAAUAUAUUUUGUAAGGCUAUAGCUUCCAUAGACAAUGAUUCUUCUGAUGUAUCUGGGUAAAGUAAAUUGAAAAAAACUCUGUAAUAGAGUCAUCAUUCUAGAUACCAUUCAGAAUAUUCGUGAUUUAUGGGAGGAGGCUAAAAUAUCAACAUUAAUAGGAGUUUAUAAGAAGUUGAUUUCAAACCCCAUGGAUGAUUUUGAGGAAUUAAAAACUUCAGUAGAGGAACUAACUGCAGAUAUGAUGGAAAUAGCAAGAGAAGUAGAAGUGGAGCCUGAAGAUGAAAAUUGUUGCAAUCUCAUGAUAAACUUUAAUGAAUGAGAAGUUGCCUUACACAUGAGCAAAAAAAAAAAAAAGCAAUGUAUUAAGCAAUGUAUUGAGUUGGAACUUACUCCUGGUGAAGAUACUUGUAAUCUUCACCAGGAACCUGGUGAACGUUCUUGUAAUGACAACAAAGGACUUAGAAUACUAUAUAUUAGUUGAUUAAACAGCAGCAGGGUUUGAGAGGAUUGGCUAUAAUUUCAAAAGAAUUUCUACUAUAGGUAAAGUGCUAUCAAACAACAUUGAAUGCAAUAGAGAAAUUUUUCUUGAAAGGAAGAGUCAAAGAGGCAAACCUCAUCAUCUUGUUUUGAGAAAUUGCCACUGCCAUCUCAACCUUCAACAACCACUACCCUCAUCAGUCAGCAGACAUCAGUAUGAAGUCAAGAGCCUCCACCAGCAAAAAAUGUAUAACUCGCUGAAGGCUCAGAUGAGAGUUAUUUUAAAUUAAGUUAUGUACAUUGCUUUUUUAGACAUAAUGUUAUUGCACACUAUUGAUGGUAAGGUUAACUAACUGCCAUUAUAACUUAAAGAAAAUUUGAGGUUAAUUUUAUUCUGAGUGAAGUUUGGGGACUAACAGUCUUGGGAACAUAGACCCAGUGCAAACCAAGAGAGUACCCACAGUGGACUACACAAGACACAGUAUUUAUAGGUUAUAUUACAUAGAAGAUAGGAGAAGGGGGUAGUGAAACAAAGGUGAUAUUCUUACAGUUUUGAUUGGUGCUCAGUGAUGCAAGUAUAUAAGAUAAGCAAAUAUGUGGUGAAUGUAUACAGGGUAAACAAACAUGCAGGUGUCUUAGGGUCUGGAGAUGGAUGAUUGAUUCUAUCCUGACUGUGCUUGUCUGAUAGGCAAGGUUGUAAUCAGUACAUGCCAGUGAAAUAUUUGACAGACUCCAGCCAUACAGGUGAGAGUUCAGCUUUAGUUCAUAGGCCUCGUUUCUAUUACCCAUAUGUCCAAACUGCAACCAUCUCAGGUCACUUUACACAUUUUUCUUUCAGAUUUUCUGUUUCCUGACAACACUAUAUAGACAAUAGUAUAGCGUAAACACAGCUUUUAUAUAAACUGGGAAAUGAAAAAAAUUCAUGUUACUUGCUUUAUUGCAAUAUUUGCUUACUGUGGUUUUCUGGAACCAAACUUGCAAUAUCUUUGAGGUUUCUCUGUAAAUUGUUCAAAAAAAUACAUCUUUUUUCCAAACACUAAAGUGAAAAAAUAUAACUUUCUUUUAUAUUUGGGGAAGUGUAUAUUUAUAUAUAUCAUAGUAAAAAUAAUCAACAUGAUUGAUAUAAGAAAAGUAUUUGAACAAGUUCAUAAAGUUAUUUUUACAUGUAAAUUGAAAGAGAAAUGGUUAAUAAAGAUAAAUCACAUGUCAUUUAACUUAUAUGUACCAAAUUACCCAACUAAAAAUUCAUGUUUACAUUAAAUAUAUCACUAAGUAUGAAUAAAAAUGAAAGUAUACUAGAAAGUGUCCUUGCUACUUUCUCAUCUGUUGGUAUAGGUCAGCUAACAUCAGAAUGAUAAACAUAUAUGACAAUUUGGAGUCUAGGCAUGGAGAUAUAAAACAGAAGAGGUUAUUAUUAUGCUAGGCUAUAAUUAUUGUAGUAAUUGUUUUUGCUAGAAGCGUUUUUUCUCAUCAUGAUGGUGUUUUUGACAAAGCACCAGUAACAAUGGUCCAAUUAGUUAUACAAAGUGUGAAAAUGCAUUUGUGUGGGGAAAUGUGAUAUAGAAAUUGCAUAGAUUGCUCAGGAAGAUAUUAACUGAAUUUUGAGAUGUAAUCAUCUGGUGCUCAAAGUGUUCAGUGAAGUUGUCUUACAUGCUCUGAAGCAGAGCUAUCACAGAACACUCCAACUAUUACUUUCAAUUUAGACCAUCAGCUUCGGUCCAUUUACUGAGUGGUUAAAUCAGAGCAAUUGAUUCUUCUGAAUCUCUGCCAGUUAUAUCCAAUAUAGUUCAUCCAGGCCAUGUGCAUUCAGCUGAGUGUUAUUUUUGGACUUCCAUAAGAACUGUUCUAUCAUCAACUGAACAGACAUAGCUUCAGAAAGAGGUUCAUCAUGUGAAGAGCGGAGAUUGCACACCCAGGUCACAAGUGACCUUUCAUUAAAUUACAGACAAAAUCCUAUUCUAAAAAAGGCCAUUGAGGUAUGUGACACCUCAUAACAAGGUUAUUUUCCAUUCCUGUAUAACAUCCCACAGAAGCAUUAUUUGUGGAUGUGAAUAAUGUAUUUUCAGUAAUAAACGUUUCACAAGUCCCUAUCCAUUUAUAACUCACCUAUUUAAUAAUUAUCUCAUUUUCUCUAUAUUGCACAAGGGUGCCACAAAAUUAAUUAUAAUCUUUGUAUCUUGUUUAAUUAUGAUGAUAACCCAUGGUAUGUUUUAUGAAAGGGUUAAAAGGGGGUUACAUAUAUAAAAUAUGAUCUCUAAGAAAAUUUAGAUUGUAUGUAUCAUAGUAAUUAUUUUUUUGUUUAGAACUAGAUAGUAUUGGCUACAAAAAAAGUCAUUCUUCAAAAAGUACAAAUAAGUUAUUAUUUAAAUUUUCAUUCUAAUGACAGUUUAGUCAGUUGCACACACACACACGUAACAUAUAUGCAUUUACUGUAUUUAUCUAUAUGUAAAUAUAUUUUUUAAAGAGAUGAAAAAUAGUAAACACUAAAGAAACAUUUAUUGCUUACUAACUGUUAGUCAUUGGACUUAAUAUUUUAUUUUUUUUUAAUAUUUUAAUGCUUUAUUAGUAAAAUUUUGCAUAUAUUCAAGAGUGUGGAAAACAUAUAGAUAUAGAUAUACAUCUUAAUUAAUAAUUUAGUGAAUGACUAUAUAAAAACCCUCAACUACUUAGAUUUUGAAUCCCCUGUCUUGUACUGCAAUACUACUGUCAGGAGACAAUGCUUCAUAGUUAAUGUUUCUGAAACGUGAGGACUUUGUGAAGAAAGAUUAUACAAAGUCAUAUUAACCUGGUCUAGCAAAAAUACAAUAUCUGCAUCAUAACAACAGUGGGGCUACUUAUUAGUAAUUUUGUAAUAGUCUACUGUUAAUCCUGCUGUUUUUUAGAAAUUUGACUAGUAAAUUAAGUGGGGUCAUGAACCACUAUUGGAUUUUUAAAUCUUUAAUACUGACAUGAUUUCCUGCCACAACCCUGGGAUUAGAGAAUUAAAGAUGGUGCUACCCUUCUCACCAGCUCAUCACACACCUUUUGGUAAACAGAAUGUUCUCUGGGCCCUACCAUGAAAUAAAGUUCAUUGGCAGGAUUUCUGGCCUGACUUAGUAGCUCUAUGCCAUCAUUCCCCUUUUUAGUUUUUAGAAUUUUGCUGAACGUUAACAAAGAAAAAAUAAUCUUAUGAAUUAAAAGGGGGUUUUAUUAUAGAUCCUGCAACUAAUAAUAGAAUUAAUAGAAUAGCAACAAUAUAUAUGUGCAACUUUAUGUCAGUUAUUUUUAAAGCCUACAUGAAUGGAACACUUGUUGAAACAUAAUUUAUCAAUCCUGACAUAAGACUAUCUGAAUAGUUUUUAUCGGCAAAUAACAUAUUUCUGUUUUAAAUUCAGAUUAUCCAACAAAGAAAAUUCCAGGAAGAAACGGGCUAACUGGUAAUUUUUCAAAAUAUUUAGGAAUGAAAUGAUGAGUCUUACAGAUUCUUUCAGAAUGCAGAGAAAGAGGGUACACUUUUUUAUUCAUUGUAUGAGGUAAAGUUAAGCUUGAUACUAACAUCUACAAAGGAUAGUACAAGAAAGACAAGUACAGGCCAAUCGCUAUAAUGAAAAUAGAUAUAAACAUUCUAUACAAAAUAGCAGAUAAGAUCUGGUUACAUACAAAUCAAAUAAUGUGAUUUAUUUUGUAAGGCAAAAUUUUCUAUUGAAUAUCACUAUAACUAGUCACAUUAACAAGAAAAUGGAAUAAAAAGACCAUCAUCAUCUUGUGGGAUAAAUUUUUUAAUUUUGAUAAAAUAAUUGAAUAUUUUAUCAAAUACCAUAACUAGCUAUGGAUAACAAAUGUCAGCAAAACAUAAGUAAAAGCUAUUGCUUGUGUAAGAAUAUCUACCAAAAUUAAACAACUAUUAUCUCAUUCAAUAGUGAAUAUUGAAUGCUUUCUUUGUGAUAUCAUUAUGAAGAAAAGCACAACCACUAUCUCAACUUGUAUAAAUAUUAUAUAAGUUCCUAGCUGGUAUAAUAGAAAAAAAUAGGUUAAAGUUUUUGAAGAAAAAAAAAAAUAAACUGUCUCCUAGUCUCAGAUGAAAUUAAUGUGUGAAUAAAAAAAUGAAAAAAAAAAAACAAACUGGUCAUUUAAUAAAUGCAUGUAGUGAGUUCUCUGUAUAAAGCUUAAUAAAGUCCAGCUAUAAUGGUGGAAACCAAGGAACUGGCUGGGAUGAUUUAAAUGUCCUUUAUUUUUAGGGCUUAGAUUACAUGAGGAUAUGCAUUUGCCAAAACCCAUCAAACUAGACACUUACAUCUAUAUUUUAUUAUUUUCACAUUACUUGCAAAUAAAAACAAUUUGGAAAAAGUGAUAAAACAACUAAAUGUAGCAUGUUAAUUUUAAUUCUACUUCUAAAAACUGCUAAUUGAUAGCAUUAUUUUAAUGUAAGUAAUAAGGGUAUAGCUUUCAUUAUACUAUUUAUACAACAUUUCUUUACGUUUUUCUUUUACUAUUAACUAAUAAAUUUUUCACUUUAAAAUAAAGUUACCUUAUGUGAUUUUCAUAUUGUAGCAUAAAGCAUCUAUGAAAGAAAAGAGACCCCUUUUCUGCAUAGAUGACCAGAAAGAAAAAGAUAAAAUGUCCCCAGUCCCAACAGCAGUCUUCUCAUAAAGUCACUCCUGGCCACAAAACAGAAGAUUCUAAUGACUCCUAGAACAUUUCCCUCCAUCAUUAUGUGUGAAUUCCACAGGGCACCAGAAUGUCCAUUUCUACUCCAUUACCAUCUUUGCACUGCUUUUCCCUAUUUACCAUCUUAGUGAAGCAGGAGGUGUAUAAUCAAGUCUUAAGCCAUACCCUGGCAGUGUAAACGGAAACCCAGCUGCAGCAACUCCAGUCUGUGUCCAAGGCUCAGAUUUGAGCCAAUUCCUAUUCCUAUUCGUAUUCCUUUCUCAAUUCCUAUUUUUCAAAGGAAAGCCAGGUAUUCCUUGCUCAAGGAGGGUUUGAGAUGGAGUUUUAAAAUCUCUCAAUGCAUUGUUUACUGUUAUAUUUCAAAAAGUAUAAUUAUCUUUGUGAAAUAUUUUUACGUGAAAAUGAAGAUUAUUAAUUUGAUCAAGCACUUUAUUAUUAUGCCUUCUGUUAAGUAAUUACUGAAGAAAAAAAUAGUAAUUAUACCUAAAGGAAUUAUAUUGGUUAGUAUUUAUGGAAUAUUACCUAUGCACCAUGUAAUGGGCCAAACUCUAUUAACUCAACUCAUGGAUGAAGUAAUUGAGGUACAGAAAGUCACAGAGAAAGUAAAUUUUGGGACUGGAGCCAAUUCAGAGCCUUCUGACACUGAAACCAGAUCUUCUAAGUGUAAUAGUCUAAGUUCUUUCUAGUUUAAUAUAUGUUAUCAUAUUAAGAAAGUAUUCAUUAAUUUUUAUCUUAUUAGGGAAUGGGUAUUAAAUUUUGUUAAAGGAAGGUCUUUUUAGCAGUUAUGGGGUGAUCAUAUUAUUUUUCUCUUUUUAUAUCAAUUAAUAUGGUGAAUUACAUUAAUGGAUUUUUAAAUGAGAGUUUUAAAGAGAGAGAGAAUUAAUGUAAGGAUCUUUUAACUGAACUUCCCAAUAAAUGUGAAAGAAGUUAUAACACAGAAAACAGCCAUUUUAAAUUCUCAAUGAAAUAAUUAACUUUGACAAGGAUCCUCAGUCCUUGUCAAAAUAAUUGUGGGGAAAGUUUGUGGGGAAAGGAGGUCUAGAGGUCCAGAGAUUCAUACCAACCAUUACCUGUCCACCCCCCACCUACCCCUAUGUUUUCAUUUUAGACCAGUGCUUGUUAAUCCUCCCUGAACAGCUGAAGAGCAUUUAUUUUAUUUAUUUGUUUUUUCCACCUUUAUUUUAGUUUCACGGUGUACGUGUGCAGGUUUGUUACAUGGACAAAUUACAUGUUGUUGAGGCUUGCAUCACCCAAGUAGUAACUAAUGCUUCUUAUUAAUCAAGGGAAAGGCGUACCUUGGUAAUGGAGUGUUUUCACAGAAACCACCUGAAUCAAGUAAUUCAUUUUGGGAAAAUGACAAUAUUUACUGAUUUAACCAUGGAAUGGAUAUUAAAAACACAAGUUCUACAGCAUUCUUGCAAAAACAAAACAAAACACUGAGUUGUAUCAAAACAAUUAUUAGAAAAUACUAAUAGUGGAAGAUACUAGUAAACAACUCACCCAGAUUACUCAAAUAUGUCAAUAAUCUAAAACAUAAACACAGACAGGAAAAUGCUCUGAUUAAGGAGACUAAAGAAGCGUAAAACCUCAGUACCAUAUAUGAUUUUUAAUUGGUCUCUAGAUUUGAAAAAAAGCUAUGAAGGACAUCUUGGGUACAAUUAGGAAAACUUGAUUAUGUACUUAUACAUUAGGUAAUAUUAUAAUACCAUAUCAGUAAUAAAUAUUUGGGAUAUAGUAAUGGUAUAUUACCACUGUUCUUAGGAGAUGCCUGCUGAAGUAUUUGGGGACAAGGAGUCUUGAUGACUGCAACUUUAAUUUUAAAACAUGCAAAGAAAGAGAGAGAGAGAGAGAGAGUAUGUACCAGAAUAUAUUGUAUAAUUCUUUCAAAUUUUCUGUAUCUUUAAACUUUUUUACAAAUUGAAAUUAAAAACCUAUAUAAAGCACUUCAUUACAUCCCACUAUUUAAUAGUAAAUGUGCUUCAGACACUUUGUUCAGGUUAACACGAAAAGCACAAGCAGUGUCAGGAUGCAGUCAAUACAGAACAAUAACAACAAGAAAACCACAAUCAUUGAAUGUCUUCCUUUUAAGCUGUCGUGAUAUUUUAUAAAACUGUGUGUAUAGAUCCGUGUUUAAAAUUAUCCUCACAUUUUGCUUUCCCUUGUUUCUUCCUCCUUCAUUAUUUGUCUUAAGUAGUUUUUUCACCUUGGUGAAAUAGUUUUUUCCCCCCAUCAAUUCUGUUAUAUUCAUGUAAAUUAAAAUUCAGUUUUUUUUUCCUUUUUUUCAGAAAAACUAUAGUAACUUGAUUUAUAGGUACAUGUAAAUAUGUUUUAAAAUUCACACUUGCAGAAAACAUUUUCAGUCUUUCAUUGACAUCAAUAAGGCUAUAAGAAUGGUAUACUUUAAGUUAUCUUUACUUCAGCUGAACAUUAGCUUUCCAUCACACUUUAAUAGUGUUCAUGGUGGGGGGUGUUUAGUUAGAAGUCAGGCCAGAGAAAAAAGCCUCAAAAAACUGUGUUUAUGUAAACUUAUUUUAUACAUUACUAUAUUCAGAGAAUGCAUACUAAUGUGUAGGUAUGUACAAAUAAAUGCAUGCCACAGAGUAUACCUUUCAUGGGAAUAAAAUAAAGUUUGUUUUUCUAGAUCUAUAUUUGUCAUCUUGCACUUUUAUAUGGAAAGUGAAUGCUCUAAUGUUACCGGUAGGAAGCCGGCUGAUUGUUUGAGCUUCCACAUCUUAGGCAAUAGUCCCGUACAGAGCACUUCUAAAAUCAGUAAGUUAUGCAAAAAUUGACUAAAAAUGGAGUAAAGACUUAAAUGUAAGACAUGAAACUGUGAAACUACUAGGAGAAAACAUACGGGAAAUUCUUCUUGACAUUGGCCAAUCGGUUUAUGAAUAGAUGCUGAACAUCAUCAGGGAAAUGCAAAUCAAAACCACAAUAAGAUGUCAUUUUAUUCCAGUUAGAAUGCCUAUUAAAAUGACAAAAGAUAACAAGUGUUGCAGUGAUGUGGAGAGCCCUUACACAUUGUUAGUGGAAUGCCAAGUAGUACAGCUACUAUGGAAACAGUGUGGAGGUUCCACAAAAACUUAAAAAUAGAAUACUAUAUAAUCCAGCAAUCCUACUACUGGGUAUAUAUUCAAAGAAAAUGAAAUCAGUGUGCUGAAGAGAUAUCUAGACUCCCAUAUUUAUUACAGCAUUAUUCCCUCAAACCAAGAUAUGACAUCAACCUAAGUAUUCAGCAACAAAUACAUAAAGAAAAUGUGGUAUAUAUACACAAUAGAAUGCUAUUUCUCCAUUAAAAAAGAAUGAAAUCCUGUCAUUUGUGACACAAUGGAUGAAUCUAGAGAACAUUAUGUUAAGUGAAAUAAGCCGGACAGACAAAUACCUCAUCAUCUCCCUCCUAUGUAAAAUCUUAAAAGCUGAUUUCAUAGAAGUAUAGAAUAGAAAGGUGCUUAGCAGAGGCUGGAAGGAAAAGGGGAAAGGAGGGCAGGAAGAGGUUGGUCAAUGGUUAAAAGUUACAGUUAGAUAGGAGGAACAAGCUCUAAUGUUCUAUUGGACAGUAGGGUGACUUCUUUGUUAAUAAUAGUGUAUUGCAUAUUUCAAAAUAGCUAGAAAAAAGGACUUUGAAUGUUCUCACUACAAAGAAAUGUUAAAUGGUUGAGCUGAUGGAUUUGCUAACCACCAUGAUUUGAUGAUUAUACAAUGUAUACAUGUAUCAACAUGGCACAUGUUGCACAGAUAUUAUGUGUCAAUUAAAAAUAAGAUAAACUUAAGAAAAUUAAUGAGUUAUUUGAUAUUUUGUGUUCAAAGGUGUUACUUGCAAUCUAGAUAAAUAGAAACUGAUUAGCUAUAGAAAAAUAUUUUACAUUAUUGUAUACAAAUCUAUCUAGAUAUGUGUCAGAAGAAUUGAAUAUUUACAAAAAAUGACAUAUAGGAAGCACUGAAUUAUCAUAGAAUGAGAGCUAUCUAGACUUGCACAUCAUUUUCUUUUUUAAACUUUUAUUUUACAUUCGGGGUACACGUGCAGGUUUUUUUAUAUAUGUAAUUUGAGUGUUGUGGGGGUUUGGUGUAUAUAUCAUUUUGUCACCCAGGUAAUAAGCAUUACACCUGAUAGGUAGUUUCUCUAUCUUCACCCUUCUCCCAGCCUCCACCCUUAAGUAGGCCCCAGUGACUAUUGUUCCCUUCUCUUUGUGUCCACAUGUAUUCAAAGUUUAACUCCCACUCAUAAGUGAGAAUAUGCAGUAUUCGGUUUUCCGUUCCUGUUUUAGUUGGCUUAAGAUAAUGGCUUCCAGCUCUAUCCAUGUUGCUACAAAGAACAUGAUCUCAUUCUUUUUCAUAGCUGCAUAGUAUUCUAUUAUGUAUAUGUACCACAUUUUUUAAUUCAGUCUACUGUUGAUGGGCAUGAAGAUUGAUUCCACGUCUUCACUAUUGUGAUUAGUGCUGCAAUGAACGUACACAUGCAUGUGUCUUUAUGGUAGAACAGUUUAUUUUCCUUUGGGUAUACACCUAAUAAUGGGAUUGUUGAGAUGAACGGUAAUUCUAUUUUAAGUUCUUUGAAAAAUCACCAAACUCCUUUCCACAGUGGCUGAACUAAUUUACAUUCCCAUCAGCAGUGUAUAAGCAUUCUUUUUUCUCCACAAUACAGAAUCUGUUAUUUUUCUGACAUUUAGUAGUGGCCAUUCUGAAUGGUGUGAGAAGGUAUCUCAUUGUGGUAUUGAUUGCAUUUCUCUAAUGAUUAGUAUGUUGAGCAUUUUUUCAUAUGCUUGUUAGCUGCAUGUAUGUUUUCUUUUGAAAAUGUCUCUUCAUGUCCUUUGUCCACUUUUUAAUGAGGUUGUUUGGUAUUUUCUUGUAAAUUUGUUUAAGUUCCUUAUAGAUGCUAGAUAUUACACCUUUGUCAGAUGCAUGGUUUGCAAAUAUUUUUCCCAUUCCGUAGGUUUUCUGUUUACUCAGUCAAUAGCUUCUUUUGGUGUAUGGAAGCUCUCAAGUUUAAUUGGGUCGCAUUUUUCAAUUCCUGUUUUUGAUGUAAUGGCUUUUGGCAUCUUCAUCAUGAAAUCAUUGCCAGGUCCUACGGCCAAAACAGUAUUUCCCAGGUUAUCUUCCAGAGUUUUACUGUAGUCUUGUAGUAUAGUUUGAAGUCACGUCAUGUGAUGAUGCCUCCAGCUUUGUUUUUUGUGCUUAGUGCAUCAGUUUUCUUUGGCUACUCAACAAAUGCUAGAGACUUAAAAGUUUAAAAAAUACAAGUUUAUUGUCACAGUUUCCAAUAAUAAGGAGCCCAGAUAUGGGUUAGCUUAGUCCUUCCCUCCAGGCCUCACCAGGCUGAAAUUGAUGUGUCAGGCUGGGGUGUGAUUUCAUUUUAGGCCCAGGGUUCUUUUCCAGGCUCCUGUGGCUCUUGACAGAUUUACUUCCUCACAUGUAACUGUGGAAUCCCUAGAGGGCGUGUCUUCAUAAUCAGCCGCAAACUGACUUCAGGUGGGUGUCCGUACUCUUUAAAGACUUACCUGAUUAUGUCAGACUCACCUGGAUAAUGUCCAUUUUGAUAAAAUUAAAGUCAACUGUUUAGUAACUUGAGUAGAGGAAUGAUAUUCCAUUAUAUUUACAGGUUCUUUCUGCACUCAAAGGGAGGAUACUAUACAGAGAAUACGCACCGGGAAUAAAAAUUUCACAGGACCAGUUAGAAAUUUUGCCUAUCCCAACAGUUAUUGAAAAAACUGUAGCUCAAAUAGUUACCCUGACACUAGUAUUUGGUCUUGGAAAACUCACCUAAGUAGUUCCUUAGAUUGUGUGUUUCAAUACACUUAGUUCUAACAUGGAAAUAUGAAGAUCAGCUCCAAAUAUUUUUUUCCCAUGAAAACCAUAUGAUAUGUUUAAAUGCUCCAGGACAUACUGUGUAUUCUUAGAAUGGACCAUAUCUAAAUGAAAUAGAGACUUGGUCUCUAUCAGAAUCCAUACUAAUGUGUAGGUAUGUACAAUAUCAGUAAUAAAUAUUUGGGAAUAGUAAUGGAUUUACAUGGAGUUAACAAUCUAGAAAAACAGUUUUUUAGUUACAAAGAUAUUUAGAAAAUAUAACUUUCCAAUGUCAUUCUUAAUAAUAUUAAGAGUUCCAUGCUUAUAAAUAUUGUUCUGUAUUAUCAUCAACUGACAUAGUUUACAUACGUGUCUCUGUUCAAAUCUCAUGCUGAAAUGUAAUCCCCAGUGUCGGAGGUGGGGUCUAGCGGGAGGUGAUUGGAUCAUGGGGGUGGUUUCUCAUGAAUGGGCUAGCACCAUCCCCUGGGUGACGUCCUCGUGAUAGUGAGUCCUUGAGAGAUCUGGUUGUUUAAAAGUAUGUGGCACCUCCCUGCUUGCUGUCUUGCUGCUGCUUUUACCGUGUGAUAUGAAAGCUCCGGUUUGGCCUCCCAUCAUGAAUGUAAGCUUCCAGAGGCCUCUCAGAAGCAGAUGUCACUAUGCUUCCUGUGUAGCUUGCAGAACCAUGGCUGAAGGAAAUAAUGUAUACAGUGGUCCAUUUCCAAGACAAAGUGCCUUAAAUCGGCUUAGGUCAGCAAACUGCAAAAGAAAUAGAAUGUACUAGGCCCUUGCGUGGAUAGCCAAUGCCUGCUUGUUGGACUCACUGCCCCCCACCCCACCUUUAGUUGGCUCACCUGAACCAAAAAAGUCGUCUAAGAUAAAAGUUUACUAGCCCGCAAAAUAGCUUGUUUUGUCCAUUCUUAUCAGCCUGCCCAGGUACUUAGGUCAUAAGUCAAAUAUAUAAAAAGCCCCUGAGCUAACUAGGAUUGCAAUGCAUUGUGGGCUGCAACAAAAUGCAGCAAAACAACCCUAAAAAGAACACCUAAAGCCCCUACCCAACAACCAAUAGGUGAUGUCCGGGAAGACUGUGACCCCAUAGUACUCAGGCUAUGAGGAACCUGGAAAGGGACUUGCACACUAGGGGAUAAAAUGCUUGUUAAAAACUGUGCUGGGUUCUUUGUAGAUUCUGGAUAUUAGCCCUUUGUCAGAUGGAUAGAUGGCAAAAAUUUUCUGCCAUUCCAUAGGUUGCCUGUUCACUCUGAUGGUAGUUUCUUUUGCUGUGCAGAAGCUCUUUAGUUUAAUCAGAUUCCAUUUGUCUAUUUUGGCUUUUGUUGUCAUUGCUUUUGGUGUCUUAGUCAUGAAGUAAUUGCCCAUGCCUAUGUCCUGAAUGGAAUUGCCUAGGUUUUAUUCUAGGGUUUUUAUGGUUUUAGGUCUUACAUUUAAGUCUUUAAUCCAUCUUGAGUUAAUUUUUAUAUAAGGUGUAAGGAAAGGGUCCAGUUUCAGCUUUCUGCAUAUGGCUAGCCAGUUUUUCCAACACUAUUUAUUAAAUAGGGAAUCCUUUCCCCAUUGCUUGUUUUUGUCAGGUUUGUCAGAGAUCAGAUGGUUGUAGAUAUGUGUCAUUAUUUCUGAGGCCUCUGUUCUGUUCCAUUGGUCUAUAUAUCUGUUUUGGUACCAGUACCAUGCCGUUUUUGUUACUGUGGCCUUGUAGUACAUUUGAAGUCUGGUAACAUGAUGUCUCUGGCUUUGUUCUUUUUGCUUAGGAUUGUCUUGGCUAUGUGGGCUCUUUUUUGGUUCCAUAUGAAAUUUAAAGUAGUUUUUUUCCAAUUCUUUUGAAGAAAGUCAGGGGUAGCUUGAUCGGGAUCAUUGAAUCUAUAAAUUACUUUGGGCAGUAUGGCCAUUUUGAUGAUAUUGAUUCUUCCUAUCUAUGUACAUGGAAUGUUUUCCGAUUUGUUUGUGUCCUCUCUUAUUUCCUUGAGCAGUGGUUUGUAGCUCUCCUUGAAGAGGUCCUUUACAUCCCUUGUAAGUUGUAUUCCUAGGUAUUUUAUUCUCUUUGUAGCAAUUGUGAAUGAAAAACAACCCCAUCAAAAAGUAGGUGAAGGAUAUGAACAGGCGCUUCUCAAAAGAAGACAUUUAUGCAGCCAACAAACAUAUAAAAGAAACCUCAUCAUCACUGGUCAUUAGAGCAAUGCAAAUCAAAACCACAAUGAGAUACCAUCUCACGCCAAUUAGAAUGGUGAUCAUCAAAAUGUCAGGAAAAAACAGAUGCUGCAGAGGAUGUGAAGAAAUAGGAACACUGUUGGUGGCAGUGUAAAUUAGUUAAACCAUUGUGGAAGACAGUGUGGUGAUUCCUCAAAUAUCUAGAACUAAAAAUACCAUGGACCCAGCAAUCUCAUUACUGGGUAUGUACCCAAAGGAUUAUAAAUCAUUCUACUAUAAAGACACAUGCACACGUAUGUUUAUUGUGGCACUGUUCACAAUAGCAAAGACUUGGAGCCAACCCAAAUGCCCAUCAGUGAUAGACUGGAUAAAGAAAAUGUGGCAAAUAUACACCAUGGGCUAUAUGCAGCCAUAAAAAAGGAUGAGUUCAUGUCCUUUGUAGGGACAUGGAUGAUGCCGGAAACCAUCAUUCUCAGCAAACUAACACAAGAACAGGAAACCAACCACCACAUGUUCUCACUCAUAAGUGGGAGUUGAGCCAUGAGGACACGUGGACACAGGGAGGGGAACAUCGGGGCUUGUUGGGGGGUGAGGGGGAGAGAUAGCAUUAGAAGAAAUAUCUAAUGUAGAUGGCAGGUUGAUGGGUGCAGCAAACCACCAUGGCACAUGUAUACCUAUGUAAUAACCCUGCACAUUCUGCACAUGUACCCCAAAACUUAAAGUAUAACAAAAAAAAUUAAAAUAAAAAAAAAAACCGGUACUGGGUGUUCCUGCUCAUCAGACCCCUAACCUUGCAAGACCAUCAUUAAAAGUCUCACUUUUGCUAUUUUCCAGGUCUCUGAGUCCAUUCUUUGGGUUUGGACAAGUGCGUUUGUUUCUCACAUGGGCCAGUUGAACCUCUUCUUUAUAAAUUAUCCAGUCUCAAGUAUUUCUUGAUAGCAAUGUAAGAAUGACCUAAUACACAAACCAUUGGAAUACUUUAUGAUCCCUUGUGGUUACUCUACAUUGUUCCUUCCCACACCAUUGUGGAGAGAUCUUCUUUCCAACUCUCCUCCUUUUACCCACUUUAAGUGUGCUAUUUGUUUUAUAGAGGAAUUCUAACUGAAACAACAUUAAACUCCUAGAAAGUCUCAAAAAAUAAGAAAGGGUUCUGUUUUCUAGAAAGAGGGAGAAUCUGGUGAUAAACUUAUAAUACAAUCUUAUCUGUUAACAAGAAUCUUUUUAAAAGAUCCAAUAGUACAUGAGUCAAAAGUAAAUCUGAAGAAUUAUGCUGGUUAAAUACUCAAAAAUCCCAGGUAGAAUGGAACAUGAGAAUGAGACUCAUGUCUGAGGCAAAGUUUGCAUAGGAAUUAGUUUAGUCUCCAAACUCAGUCUUUGUGUUUAGUUGUCAGUAUACUGAAAAUUAAGUUUGCCAGCUCUCACUGCUUCUAGAUAUCCACCCACCUUUAUGAAGCAGGUGGCUAUAAAAGUUUUUGUAUGGAACCUGAGAUGUCCCAGAAAAAUGCAUUCCAACUACUGGAUUUCUUGAAAAAAAAAAAAAAAAUCCUGGCAUUUCAUCCACCAGGUAACCAUUCAUUGAAGUCCAGCAUUCAGAAGACCACACACACACACACACACACACUCACACAAACACACAUACAAUGUUGUCAGUUGACUUUUUAUUGCAUGAAUUUGGGAGUUAAAGUCAGAGAUGUCAGAUAUCCUGAAGAAAGGCUUUAAUGUUAGAGAGACCAAAACAAAUAAAUGAAACUGCCUAAGAGAGUCUGGCAGAUUGGAGGGUAACAGACAAUUUAGGAAUUAAAGAAAAUUUUAAAAGAGAAAGCAAGCAAUGUUCUUAGCAAGUUAAGAGAAAUAUAACAACUAGAAAAAUAUAUAAAGGAAAAUAAGAAAGAUAUUUAAAAAUAUGUAUUUAAAUGUUCUUAUAAUAUGAAAGAUGAAACUGAGAAAGUGUUUCAGGAAGUAAAAAUAAAAAUAUUAGAAAAAUAUUUUAAUGGGGUAUAUUCCAGAAUGUUCAAUAUCCAAAUAAUGGAAGUUGCACAGUUGGAAACCAGAGAAGACAAUGGAGAGAAUAUUUUCAAAGAAAAAAUAUAAGAACAAAUUCAAUAUUGAAAAGCAAGAUUUUAGAUUAAAAGUUCACACUAUUUACCAUAUGCAAGAAAUAAAAGGUUAGUUCAAAGCAUCAUUAAUAUUUCUAAACAAUAAAAAUACACGUCCUAUGAUCUUCUUAUGUAGGGGGAAAAAUGAAGGAUCAUAUAUAACAAAUCAAGAAUCACAAUGGAAUCAGACUAUAAACAGCAAAGUAGAAAGUCAGAAAAAAAAUAAGAAAUCCCUUCAAACAUCUGAGAAAAAGAGAUUUAUGAUCUAGAAUUCUAUAUCUA